UGUGUGUGUGUGUUUGUGUGUGUGAGUGUGUGUGUGUGUGGGUGUGUGUGGGUGGGUGGAUACAUACCAACAGGGAUGAGGAGAAAGCGGAUGUAACUCAG